CGCCAGACUCCUACGGGAGGCAGCAGUGGGGAAUAUUGCACAAUGGGGGAAACCCUGAUGCAGCGACGCCGCGUGAGUGAAGAAGUAUUUCGGUAUGUAAAGCUCUAUCAGCAGGGAAGAAAAUGACGGUACCUGACUAAGAAGCCCCGGCUAACUACGUGCCAGCAGCCGCGGUAAUACGUAGGGGGCAAGCGUUAUCCGGAUUUACUGGGUGUAAAGGGAGCGUAGACGGCAUGGCAAGUCAGAUGUGAAAGCGCGGGGCGCAACCCCGGGACUGCAUUUGAAACUGUCAGGCUGGAGUGCAGGAGAGGUAAGUGGAAUUCCUAGGGUAGCGGUGAAAUGCGUAGAUAUUAGGAGGAACACCAGUGGCGAAGGCGUCUUACUGGACCGAAACUGACGUUGAGGCUCGAAAGCGUGGGGAGCAAACAGGAUUAGAUACCCCGGUA
rnacentral:rRNA from 1 species